CUGACCUAUCAGCUUUCGACGGUAUGGUAUUGGCUUACCGUGGCAGUGACGGUUAACGGGGGAUUAGGGUUCGAUUCCGGAGAGGGAGCCUGAGAAACGGCUACCACAUCUAAGGAAGGCAGCAGGCGCGCAAAUUACCCAAUUCUAACAGUUUGAGAGAGGUAGUAACAAGAAAUAACAAUACAAGGCAAUUAAAAUGCUUUGUAAUUGGAAUGAUAGAAAUUUAAACCCUUUUUAAAGUAUCAAUUGGAGGGCAAGUCUGGUGCCAGCAGCCGCGGUAAUUCCAGCUCCAAUAGCGUAUAUUAAAAUUGUUGCAGUUAAAAAGCUCGUAGUUGAAGUUCUGCUAAAAGUAACCGGUCUGCUUUUAAUAAAAGUGGUAUCUUGGUGUGUAUUUAGCAAUGAUGUCCUUUGAAGUGUUUUUUACUUUAUUGUAAUAAAGCAUAUUCAGGACUUUUACUUUGAGAAAAUUAGAGUGUUUCUAGCAGGCCGACGCUUUGAAUACUGCAGCAUGGA
rnacentral:rRNA from 1 species